GACGAACGCUGGCGGCGUGCCUAAUACAUGCAAGUAGAACGCUGAAGGAGGAGCUUGCUUCUCCGGAUGAGUUGCGAACGGGUGAGUAAUGCGUAGGUAACCUGCCUGGUAGCGGGGGAUAACUAUUGGAAACGAUAGCUAAUACCGCAUAAGAGUAGAUGUCGCAUGACAUUUGCUUAAAAGGUGCAACUGCACCACUACCAGAUGGACCUGCGUUGUAUUAGCUAGUUGGUGAGGUAACGGCUCACCAAGGCAACGAUACAUAGCCGACCUGAGAGGGUGAUCGGCCACACUGGGACUGAGACACGGCCCAGACUCCUACGGGAGGCAGCAGUAGGGAAUCUUCGGCAAUGGACGGAAGUCUGACCGAGCAACGCCGCGUGAGUGAAGAAGGUUUUCGGAUCGUAAAGCUCUGUUGUAAGAGAAGAACGAGUGUGAGAGUGGAAAGUUCACACUGUGACGGUAUCUUACCAGAAAGGGACGGCUAACUACGUG
rnacentral:rRNA from 1 species